AUUGAACGCUGGCGGCAGGCUUAACACAUGCAAGUCGAGCGGAGAUGAGGUGCUUGCACCUUAUCUUAGCGGCGGACGGGUGAGUAAUGCUUAGGAAUCUGCCUAUUAGUGGGGGACAACAUUCCGAAAGGAAUGCUAAUACCGCAUACGUCCUACGGGAGAAAGCAGGGGAUCUUCGGACCUUGCGCUAAUAGAUGAGCCUAAGUCGGAUUAGCUAGUUGGUGGGGUAAAGGCCUACCAAGGCGACGGUCUGUAGCGGGUCUGAGAGGAUGAUCCGCCACACUGGGACUGAGACACGGCCCAGACUCCUACGGGAGGCAGCAGUGGGGAAUAUUGGACAAUGGGGGGAACCCUGAUCCAGCCAUGCCGCGUGUGUGAAGAAGGCCUUAUGGUUGUAAAGCACUUUAAGCGAGGAGGAGGCUACUGAGACUAAUACUCUUGGAUAGUGGACGUUACUCGCAGAAUAAGCACCGGCUAACUCUGUGCAGCCGCCGCCGUAA
rnacentral:rRNA from 1 species